rnacentral:rRNA from 1 species
AAAGUUCCCUUCGGGGAGCGAGUAGAGUGGCGCACGGGUGAGUAACACGUAGGUAAUCUACCUUCGGAUUGGGAAUAACAACCGGAAACGGUUGCUAAUACCGAAUAAUGCAGCGGCACCUAAUGGUGACAGUUGUUAAAGCGGGGGAUCGCAAGACCUCGCGUCUGAAGAGGAGCCUGCGGCGGAUUAGCUAGUUGGUAAGGUAAUGGCUUACCAAGGCGAUGAUCCGUAGCCGGCCUGAGAGGGCGGUCGGCCACACUGACACUGACAUACGGGUCAGACUCCUACGGGAGGCAGCAGUCGGGAAUUUUGGGCAAUGGGCGAAAGCCUGACCCAGCAACGCCGCGUGAAGGAUGAAAUCCUUCGGGAUGUAAACUUCGCAAGAACGGGAAGAAUAAGUGAGAGCUAACAUCUCUUACGAUGACGGUACUGUUUGUAAGCUCCGGCUAACUCCGUGCCAGCAGCCGCGGUAAUACGGGGGGAGCAAGCGUUGUUCGGAUUUACUGGGCGUAAAGGGCGCGUAGGCGGCCACCGCAAGUCGAUUGUGAAAUCUCCGGGCUUAACCCGGAAAGGUCAACCGAUACUGCGGGGCUAGAGUGCAGAAGGGGCAACUGGAAUUCUCGGUGUAGCGGUGAAAUGCGUAGAUAUCGAGAGGAACACCUGCGGCGAAGGCGGGUUGCUGGGCUGACACUGACGCUGAUGUGCGAAAGCUAGGGGAGCGAACGGGAUUAGAUACCCCGGUAGUCCUAGCCUUAAACGAUGAAUGCUUGGUGUCUGGGGUUUUAUAGUCCCCGGGUGCCGUC